rnacentral:rRNA from 1 species
GACCGAACCGACUAAUGUUGAAAAAUUAGCGGAUGACCUGUGGCUGGGGGUGAAAGGCCAAUCAAACCGGGAGAUAGCUGGUUCUCCCCGAAAGCUAUUUAGGUAGCGCCUCGUGAAUUCAUCUCCGGGGGUAGAGCACUGUUUCGGCUAGGGGGCCAUCCCGGCUUACCAACCCGAUGCAAACUGCGAAUACCGGAGAAUGUUAUCACGGGAGACACACGGCGGGUGCUAACGUCCGUCGUGAAGAGGGAAACAACCCAGACCGCCAGCUAAGGUCCCAAAGUCAUGGUUAAGUGGGAAACGAUGUGGGAAGGCCCAGACAGCCAGGAUGUUGGCUUAGAAGCAGCCAUCAUUUAAAGAAAGCGUAAUAGCUCACUGGUCGAGUCGGCCUGCGCGGAAGAUGUAACGGGGCUAAACCAUGCACCGAAGCUGCGGCAGCGACGCUGAUGCGUUGUUGGGUAGGGGAGCGUUCUGUAAGCCUGCGAAGGUGUGUCGUGAGGCAUGCUGGAGGUAUCAGAAGUGCGAAUGCUGACAUAAGUAACGAUAAAGCGGGUGAAAAGCCCGCUCGCCGGAAGACCAAGGGUUCCUGUCCAACGUUAAUCGGGGCAGGGUGAGUCGACCCCUAAGGCGAGGCCGAAAGGCGUAGUCGAUGGGAAACGGGUUAAUAUUCCCGUACUUGGUGUUACUGCGAAGGGGGGACGGAGAAGGCUAUGUUGGCCGGGCGACGGUUGUCCCGGUUUAAGCGUGUAGGUGUGUGUUCCAGGUAAAUCCGGUUCACUUUAACACUGAGGCGUGAUGACGAGGCACUACGGUGCUGAAGCAACAAAUGCCCUGCUUCCAGGAAAAGCCUCUAAGCAUCAGGUAACAUCAAAUCGUACCCCAAACCGACACAGGUGGUCAGGUAGAGAAUACCAAGGCGCUUGAGAGAACUCGGGUGAAGGAACUAGGCAAAAUGGUGCCGUAACUUCGGGAGAAGGCACGCUGACACGUAGGUGAAGUGAUUUACUCAUGGAGCUGAAGUCAGUCGAAGAUACCAGCUGGCUGCAACUGUUUAUUAAAAACACAGCACUGUGCAAACACGAAAGUGGACGUAUACGGUGUGACGCCUGCCCGGUGCCGGAA